rnacentral:rRNA from 1 species
GAUUAACGCUGGCGGCGUGCAUAACACAUGCAAGUCGAACGAUGAAACUUAAAUGAUUUCUUCGGAAUGAACUCAAGUGGAUGAGUGGCGGACGGGUGAGUAACGCGUGAGUAACCUGCCUUACACAAGGGGAUAGCCGUUGGAAACGACGAAUAAUACCCUAUGGAACUAUCACUUCGCAUGAAGCGAUAGUCAAAGUGUUAGCGGUGUAAGAUGGACUUGCGUCUGAUUAGCUAGUUGGUGCGAAAAAAGCCCACCAAGGCAACGAUCAGUAGCCGGCUUGAAGGAGUGUACGAGCACAUUGGGACUGACACACGGCCCAGACUCCUACGGGAGGCAGCAGUGGGGAAUUUUGCACAAUGGGGGAAACCCUGAUGCAGCGACGCCGCGUGAUUUAGAAGGCCUGCGGGUUGUAAAAAUCUUUUGUAUAGGAAGAAAAUGACAGUACUAUACGAAUAAGGUCCGGCUAAGUACGUG